UGGCGCACGGGUGAGUAACACGUGGAUAUCUGCCUUUUGGUUCGGAAUAACCCUGGGAAACUAGGGCUAAUACCGAAUGGUUCCUACGGGAUAAAGCCUUCGGGCGCUUUGGGAGCGGCCUGCGUAUGAUUAGUUUGUUGGUGAGGUAAUGGCUCACCAAGACUACGAUCAUUAGCUGGUCUGAGAGGAUGAUCAGCCAGACUGGGACUGAGACACGGCCCAG
rnacentral:rRNA from 1 species